rnacentral:misc_RNA from 1 species
UUAAGUUCAGCGGGUAUCCCUACUUGAUCCGAGGUCAAAAGUGUUAAAUGUGCUUACUGGACGCUACUAAUGCUGGGUAGACUCGCAAAUUGUGCUGCGCUUCAAACCAAUAUCGUGGCUGCCAAUGAAUUUAAGGCGAGUCCAAACGCGAGGAAAGGACAAACACCCAACACCAAGCAAAGCUUGAGAGUACAAAUGAC